AAGUGAAGGAAGACCGAUGGAAUUCGAUAAGGAUACAGUGACAGGAACAGCUAAACAAAAUUUAAUUGUUAGAGUCUCGAAGAACUGAUCGAGAAACUUAUCAUUCUAUCGUUCAUUGGUACCUAAAGCGUCUAGGAAAGAUAUUGUACAGAAAAUAGAAAAAUGAUUUCAUACGAAUUGUCGGAAAAAAUCUUCAGAAGAAUUAGUGUAUGCUCUUCUCUCCUCACUCAUCUAACUCGUGUGUCAUCUUCGAUCGGAUCGUAGCAGGGAUCUAAAGGAUCUUUAUAAAACAUUAUCGAACAUUGAAAAAUCAGUAGGAAAUAUAAACUGUUGGUAUCGAUGAUCUGCCACAAAUAUAAAAGAAACUUGGCAUUUUUUAUGAGAUGUCCUAAUAUUGAAAAUUUGGAGAAAAAUCUCGAAAGUUUGAUUAAAAUAAUAGAAUAAUUUUAAAACAAAAGACAUGGAAAUUAUGUUUUUCUUAUUAUCGCCCGUUCUUAACCGAGAUAUCGCCGAUGACGCGUAAGAGAUAGCAAAGACGCUCGCUCUGGUGAAUCAGUUUCGGCUAAUGGUGGGGUUAACUCUGCAUCUAUUAACGAAGCAAGAAAUGCGUCUAUUAACGAGGCAAUACUAUACUUGACAUAAUACAGUAAAGACUACUCAAUGUUGAAUUCAUCGGCAGUGAAAGGAUACUUUUGUGAGCAACAAAUAACGUAUGACGAACUCGUCAGCGAACACCGCAGCUAGGCGUUACAUCUAAAGAUUUACUCGCGAAAGAUCUGCUCGUAUCUGGCCCAUGAAUUGUCAGCUCUAGUAUAAAUACAAUGAUAUUUCUGUUUAUGAAUAGUCUGUAGCAGCUCGCGAAUUGAUCGUGAACUGCUGGCAAAUAGUUCUAGCCAAUUGUGGAUCCAAUAUAUCUGCCACGAAACAGCCAGCCAGUACGAGUGAUAAACACAACUCUUCAAGCAAGUUAACAAGAACUAGUUAUGAUAUCAACGUUAUACAUAAGUACCUAUAUACAUGAUGCUAUAAGAUGAUGUCAUUGAGUGGUUCGUAACUACAUGAAAAUAUUGUCACUUUUCUGGUGAUAAGUACAGAUAACAAAUGACACUUUCAAAUUCAUUUUUGUUAUCAUAAAAGGAUCACAUCUCUGGAUUUCUCAACACGGAAUAUCAAUAAAAAUAUCUAUCAAUGCCUUAGUAAAUUGAGAUAUUAAUAUUUUGUACAUUGUGAUAUUUCUUGUAUGUCCUACUUUGUUACAUUCUGAAUAAAAAUGUGAUGACUGGAAUCGUGAAUUAAACAAGGCACACACAUAUGAUUUACACUAACAUUGGAUUCAACAAACCUACAUUACACUCAUUCUGGAAAAAUGAAGGCUAUAACUUCAACUUUUUAUAAUGUACAAUGCAAAACGCAUCAAUACAUUUCUAGAAUGAUCGUGCAUGCUAUUCACUUUCUAUCUGACUGUCAAAUGUAAACAUGCUGUAAAUAAAAUCAGUGUGAAAGCUAAUGGUUCUUCAACAUCAUUUUUAACAGAAUGGUUCAAUGGCAAUGUAUGAUUUCUUUGAUUAAUUUGGUCCUUGUGAUGAUUACAAUAUAGGUAAAAGGAUUUGGCUAUUAAUACUAUGUCACAUGUAAUACUUUUUAUCAAUAGUACUUUUUAAUCAUUUGAUAAUAUUAUUGUUUUAUAUAAUUUAUUAAUAAUAAAUUAUGUUUAAUUGUACAAAUGUUUUAGUAAUAAUGUUAAGCUUUCAUAAGAAAAACAUCAAAAUAAAAAGAUUAACAGAAAUUCUCAAAUAUUUUAUGCAUUAUGUGAAUUAAUAGUCGUUUUAAUAUAUUCUGUCUCUCCACAUAAAUAGAACAUAUAUAUUAUACGAUUUAUAAGAAAUUAAGUAUAAUGUUGUCACAUACAACAUUUAUCUUUAUUGUAACAUUUGAAAUUACAUUUUGUAAAAAAGUUUUUAUUUUACGAAUGUUGAUGAUUGCCACUAUAUAUUACAAACAUGAUAGUAAAUAUAAUAACAAAAAUUAAUAAUGAAUAUGUUUUAUUAUGUUAUUAAUGUAACAUAUCAAUUUGUUUUAUACAUUUAAUAAUAAUAAUAAAAUUUAUAAUCUUUAGAACACAACCUU